GCCCCGUUCGUCUAGCGGUCUAGGAUAUCACCCUUUCAAGGUGGAGACACGGGUUCGAGUCCCGUACGGGGUA
rnacentral:tRNA from 1 species